GCUUAUUGCGCGGCGAUAAACCUUACACACAUUGUCUAGUUUUUUUGAACUUUGCUUUGGGUGCAUCAGCCUAGCUGCGUGCCCAAAGGUCUAAACACAUUUUUUUAAUGUUAAAACCUUUAACCAAUAGUCAUGAAAAUUUUUAACAAAAAUUAAAAUCUUCAAAACUUUCAACAACGGAUCUCUUGGUUCUCGCAACGAUGAAGAACGCAGCGAAAUGCGAUACGUAUUGUGAAUUGCAGAUUUUCGUGAAUCAUCGAAUCUUUGAACGCACAUUGCACCCUCUGGUAUUCCAGAGGGUAUGCCUGUUUGAGCGUCAUUUCUCUCUCAAACCUUCGGGUUUGGUAUUGAGUGAUACUCUGUCAAGGGUUAACUUGAAAUAUUGACUUAGCAAGAGUGUACUAAUAAGCAGUCUUUCUGAAAUAAUGUAUUAGGUUCUUCCAACUCGUUAUAUCAGCUAGGCAGGUUUAGAAGUAUUUUAGGCUCGGCUUAACAACAAUAAACUAAAAGUUUGACCUCAAAUCAGGUAGGACUACCCGCUGAACUUAAGCAUAUCAAUAAGCGGAGGAAA
rnacentral:rRNA from 1 species